GGAGCGCGCCAGACCGCCGCUGGUGCAACCUCGAAAGAGGGCCCGAAAGGGAGCACCGGAGGAACGUCCGGACUGCACAGGACAGCGUAGGAGGUAACACCUCUCCACCGACAAGCUGCAAGGCCCUAAGGUGAGGAUCAGAGCAACAGAGACGAGCCGAUUCAGUUCGGGUGAAACGGGCAAUCUCUACGCGCAGCAAUACCAAAUAGGCACGCGUUGAUGUGGCUCCGCGGAGCGUGCGGGUAGGUAGCACCGAGCCGGGAGGGCGACCCCCGGCCCAGAGGAAUGGCGGUCUCGUCCCGGGCAACCGGGGCGCACAGAAUCCGGCGUAUCGGCGCGCUUCACAC
rnacentral:RNase_P_RNA from 1 species